GUCGAGAAUAAUUCACAAUGGGGGCAACCCUGAUGGUGCAACGCCGCGUGGAGGAUGAAGGUCUUCGGAUUGUAAACUCCUGUCAUCCGGGAGCAAGACCUGGCCGUGAAUAGCGGACAGGGUUGAUAGUACCGGAAGAGGAAGGGACGGCUAACUUCGUGCCAGCAGCCGCGGUAAUACGAAGGUCCCGAGCGUUGUUCGGAAUCACUGGGCGUAAAGGGAGCGUAGGCGGCGCGGUAAGUCAGAUGUGAAAUCCUAGGGCUCAACCCUGGAACUGCAUCCGAUACUGCUGUGCUUGAGCAAUGGAGAGGUAGCCGGAAUUCUCGGUGUAGCAGUGAAAUGCGUAGAUAUCGAGAGGAACACUCGUGGCGAAAGCGGGCUACUGGACAUUUGCUGACGCUGAGGCUCGAAGGCCGGGGGAGCGAAAGGGAUUAGAUACCCCAGUAGUCC
rnacentral:rRNA from 1 species